rnacentral:rRNA from 1 species
UACGUAGGGUGCGAGCGUUAAUCGGAAUUACUGGGCGUAAAGCGUGCGCAGGCGGUUUUGUAAGCCAGAUGUGAAAUCCCCGGGCUUAACCUGGGAAUGGCAUUUGGGACUGCAAGGCUCGAGUGCGGCAGAGGAGACUGGAAUUCCUGGUGUAGCAGUGAAAUGCGUAGAUAUCAGGAGGAACACCGAUGGCGAAGGCAGGUCUCUGGGCCACUACUGACGCUGAGAAGCGAAAGCGUGGGGAGCGAACAGG